rnacentral:tRNA from 1 species
GUGGAGAUGGCUCAGUGGUUAAUAGCACUGGUUGCUCUUCCUNAGGACCUGGGUUCAAUUCCCAGUACCCACA